GCCAUAUACUCCCCCUCCCCUACUAAAAGCCCAAAUAAAAACCCUUCCUUUUAGCUUUUCAAGGAGUUUGGGAUUUGAGCGUUAGCUGCCGUCUCUCCUUACUCAGUGCUGUGCAAUAAUAAAAUCCUACUUCCACUACACCUGGUGUCAGAGAUUGGCUUGCUGCACAACGGGACUGGCUGGAAAUAAUGGGUACCUGGCAGCCCUCUGGGCUCCGUUUGUUUGGAAGUUGCCGCCACGCCCUAGCCAAAUUUUGAAAAACUUCUUAUUAAAUACCUGGUUACUUACUUACAUGAUACAGGCCUAACUUCAGGAGCCCACCAGCAUCACCGCCUUAUUAAAAGACUGGUUCAAUGAGAUGAAACGACCUAUGCCCCAUUUCAGCAGGAAGUAGCUAGAUCGGUUGCCACCCCAAAUCCCUCAAGAUUGAGGGACGGACAUAAAAUAGGGGGGAGUUGAUAUCGACCCUGAUAUCAGUUUCCCCACAUUAAACCCAGCAUAUAUGGGGUUAAAACCCAAACACUCAUUCCCUGCUUACUCUCUGGCUUCCUGGCUCCAGAAUCCACUAUCCUCCAUGGAGACAGACACCGUCAAAGACAAGCACCUGGACCAUCUCCUCCCCACAAAGAGAUACAGACUGGUGGGAAAGCUUCUGACCAGCAAGGUCAUGAACUCCCUCCUGUCUGCAAGUGUCUCAAGGCCAGAGACAGGCUGGUGGGAAAGCUCCGACCAGCAAGGCCAUAUGCUCCCCCUCCCCUACCUAAAGCCCCAAAUAAAAACCCUUCCUUUUAGCUUUUUCGGGGAGUUUGGGAUUUCAGCAUUAGCUGCCCUCUCUCCUUGCUCAGUGCUGUGCAAAAAUAAAGUUCCUACUUUCUUCCACCACACCCGGUGUCAGAGAUCGGCUUGCUGUGCAACGGGUGAGCGAACUCACUUCAGGUUCCAUAUCAGUCACACCAUGCUGUGGUAGGUGUCCCACAUAAAAUAGAGGAAGAUGGGCAUGGAUGUUAUCUCAGGGCCAAUCUUCCUCAAAAAAAAAAAAAAAUAAAGGAAACUAAAGCUCAGAGAGAAGUGACUGCCCUCAGACAUCACAGUUAAGAGGAGGGAUUCGAACCCAUAACCCUGCCUCCCUCCUUGUUCAGCCCCCAACCUACACUGCCUCUUUCCACCAUUAACAAUACCAGCCUUAUGCACGGAGGAUGAGGAAUCUGCGGGUUGAAGUGGUUUGGAAGGGCCUGGUGGACCAGCUGGGAGGGACCAGGGAAGGGUCUCCAGUCCGUAAGUCCCACGUGGAACCUUCUAGGGCCCGGGGAGGGCCAGGCUGCCACCUGAGUCACCCGCGUCCUCUUCAUCACUGGGGCAGCUCCAAUUUCCUGGGCCCUCCAUCCGUGCCGGGACCUUCGAGUCUCAAAGCUCCCAGGGCUGGGUCCUGUUCUCGUCCUCAUCUUCCAAGUGUGUAGAACCAGAGCUCAGAGAAACUCAUCAACUUGCCCGAGGACACACAGCUGACAAAUGGCUGAGCCUGAAGCAAACUCAAUUCCAAUGCCAGGUGAUAGAGAGGAAGUGUGAGAAAUCAGGCUGGCGUGAAAGUCAUCGUCCAGCCCGCUCCGAGUCCUUACCUCCAUGAGCGGAUGGGGGGAGUCACUUCUUGUCUUCCCACUAUCUUGGCCAAGACAACAGAUUCUCAAGACAGACCAAUGCCGACGUCAGCCAAGGAACCAGCCUUGUGCAGUUGGCUGUGACCUUGGAGAUGAGGUCAUGAGGACAGGCAUGGCUGUCUUGACCCUCCUG
ensembl:lncRNA